rnacentral:rRNA from 1 species
GUUCAGGGGUAAACCUGAGAAACCCAAAAGAUCGAAUGGGGAGANUCAUCGUCAGCUCAUUUUGUAUAUGUAUAAGUUAUGAUGCGGGUUACUACUUGUAGUAUUGCCUGCACAUUCUUGUAUAUUUAGUUGCAAGAUGUUGUCGGCGUGCACUUCUCCCCUAGUAGGACGUCGCGACCUGUUGGGUGUCGGUCUACGGCCCAAGUGAUAGCCUUUAAUGUAAUUUAAAAAGCAUUGAAGAUCCUUGGUGUUUUCUGACCGGCUACUUGGCAGUAUUCGUACGGUAUUUAGCCGCUAAAUUUAUUAAGCGUCCGUAUCCGUCACAAGCGA